rnacentral:rRNA from 1 species
AGCACGACGGUCUUUUUCUGGAAAUUCAUGUCUGGAAAACCCGGUCGUGACAACGGGGGCGGUUCGCCGCCCCCGACGUCGCGAGAAGUCCAUUGAACCUUAUCAUUUAAAGGAAGGAGAAGUCGUAACAAGGUUUCCGUAGGUGAACCUGCAGAAG